UUGAUCCUGGCUCAGAAUCAACGCUGGCGGCGUGCCUAACACAUGCAAGUCGAACGCGAAAGUGGAGCAAUCCAUGAGUAGAGUGGCAAACGGGUGAGUUACGCGUGGGCGACCUGCCUUCGAGUGGGGGAUAACAUUCCGAAAGGGAUUCUAAUACCGCAUAACAUCCUUCGUUUAGAUACGAGGUGAUCAAAGCCGGUAGCAAUUCUGGCGCUUAAAGAGGGGCCCGCGUCCGAUUAGCUAGUUGGUUGGGUAACGGCCUACCAAGGCUCCGAUCGGUAUCCGGCCUGAGAGGGCGGUCGGACACACUGGAACUGAGACACGGUCCAGACUCCUACGGGAGGCAGCAUUGGGGAAUUGUUCGCAAUGGGCGCAAGCCUGACGACGCAACGCCGCGUGUAGGAUGAAGACCUUCGGGUCGUAAACUCCUUUCGACCGAGAAGAAUGGCUCACGACCUCAUACGUCGUGAGCAUGACGGUAUCGAGGGAAGAAGCCCCGUCUAACUCUGUGCCAGCAGCCGCGGUAAUAAGGU
rnacentral:rRNA from 1 species